CGACUAAGGAAGAUCUGACUGACUGAUCGAAAACUCCAGCCACGUUCCAGCGACAGACAGAUCUCCCUUCCCCUCCCCUCUCUCUUCUCUUCCCCGUUUGCUGCUUCCUGUAGAAGCUGCUGUGCCAACAGAAACGGGAAGGAGAGCUAAACAGAAAUGGCAGUCUCUCUCUCUCUACCAGAGGUAGUGUUGAUUCCCUGCUGUUUAACAUCUCUGGGCUAAUGCAGACCCUCACGGGACCCAGGCGUCUCACCCCAUGACUCUGGCCACUCAAGGGGGCUGCUGGGUCCCCUCCCACCGGC